CUCUCUGUCCCACUCCUCACAUCAAAUCCCAUUUUAAACGAAUAGUUAAUCUCCAGAUGCGUACAUUCUACUACCCAUAGCACAUUUGACUCCUAAUGUUAAUCAAUUUGGGCAGUGUUUACAUAAUAGCAUGAAACCUCUCUCAAAAACUAACCACGACAUGUCAUGCACUCAUCAUUCACGACUACAAACCCAAAACUCAAAACUAUUACAAGGUUUAAACCCUCAUUUCAUAAGAUAUUAAAUACUGAACUGAUUGUGCCAAAAGCUUAAACAAGACUAAUAGGCAAAUUAAACUACUCUCAACAUGGGUUUAUGAUCAUAUAUCAUAAAAACAACUCCAAUCCAUAACAAAACAACAUCACAGUACCAUUAGAACACAUCACAAUACCCUUCAAAUAGCAGACUACACUUGUCAUUUUGUCCCUAGCCUAUACUUGUCAUUGUAGCAAGUUCAAUAUGGAAUCAACACCAAGAAUGAACACUGACUUCAGCAAAAUUAAAGCAGAUCAUGUAACUAGAAUAAACCUUCUACUGCAUUAUCUUAAUAGUCCUAAAUUAAGUACAAUGAUGAAAACUCCACUAUCCAAACUAGAAAUUAACUAAAAGAUACAGUGAAUCUGGCUAUUAAAACACCAUAUAAUGAAGAAAUACAACUGAAUUCAUAAACAAAUUUGAGGCCAUGCUUCAAACUCUAUUUUUUCAUUUCUCAUACUUCAAGUCUAACUUCACAUUCAGUGGGGUCCAAGAAUAUGUACCUUAAUACAGCAAAAUAACAAAGGAAAUAAGCUUGGAGCCUAAGAGAGAAUAGCAGCAGUAGUUCAGCUAAGAGGAAGCAACAGCAGCAAAGUAUCAGCAACUAAAACAACCACACAAUCAGCAAUUACUCAGCCUUUGACCCAGCUUCAAACCCAGAAUCAAUACCACUUUCAGAGCUUUUGAAAAAUCUGACUAACAGGGAACUUAGGAACCAAACAAUUCCAGGCAAAUUUCAGUAUUUUAGAGUCUAGAAAAAGCUCAGUUGUUCCUAAAGUUUUUCAGUAUUUUUCAGUCUCUAAAAUCUCUAAAAUAUGACUUGUGAAUGAAGCAAUUAGCGUUUUAUAAGGGAGUUUUAGGGCAGCAGAAAUGUGUUUUAGUUUUGCCCUUUAAUCCUUUUUAAAUUUUCAGUUUUGCUCCUAUGUCCUUAGUCUUAAAAUCUGUUUUGAAAAACAGCCCCAAACCCACCUUCCUAGAAGCUUCCCCAGUCAGUUAUACAAUAUUCCCUCGGCCAAUUUCCCUAAACUACCCUUUAGACUUCUUUUAUUUACCUUCAGAAGAUCACAUGUCAAAUUACCCCAAGACCCAUCCCAAACUCAUGGGUCUGUAUACUAACAACCCAAACUUACAAUAUCAAAAUGAAUAAGGAAGAAAGAAAUCUGAUUCAUCAAGCCUUUAAUAAAAUUAAUCGACUAAACCUAAAUAAUUUCGGCUAAAACAAAACUCAAACAGAAACAAUCACAAUAAGAUAUUAAUCCAUAUCCUGCAAUUGAACAGUUACAACUACUGAUUUAAUCAAACUAAAAUUAAUUCAAGCACACAAAAAUACAAGAAUUAGAGAAAGAGAAAAAAACAAGAAACGGACACGAAGAACGGAAGAGAAGAAGGAAUGGUACUGGUCUUAGCCAGAAUAAAUUGACUAAGGUGACGAGCUUGGCCGAGCAUUCGUGGUCUAGUCAAGAGCUGGUGACUCUCGAAAUGAGCCAAAAUUAUCUUUAAUCGAUUAUUCUUAACGAGAACAAUUGCUUAACAGAGGUCCUGAGUCAGAUCGAGUCUUGGGAGCAUAGGAAUCAGAAAAUUAUUUUUCUUUUAAUUUUCAUAUUCAAAAUUGAGGAGAAAAGGUGGGGCUUUCAGGGAAAUUGACUAUGGCUUAAUGUUUGAGGGAGUAUAGGGAGUGGAUGGUGAAAUUUUGGUGUGAUUUGGAGCUUCAACACCACCGGUGGCGAAAUCCGGCGGGUGGCAGGUGGUGGUGAGAGAUGAGAGGUCUGAGAGAUGAAGAAG
rnacentral:lncRNA from 1 species